GGAUCAAUCAAGGGGAAAACACGGAGACCUAAAUAAACAGAAAACUCAAAUCCUCAGUCUCAACAGUUUAGGGUCAUUCAGCUAAACAAAGUUUUGUCACCACUCAGACCCUUAGCUACUCUUCAGUCUAUUAAUUUGGGCCAACAGACCGCGUCAGAUGCUAUACACAAACUGGGUUCAGUUUACAUAUUUGAGUCGCUGGAUUUCAAAGCCAAGUAGGCAAACGGAUAAACUGCCAGAGACCAGGAGAGUAGGCAAAACCUUGAGGUGGAGGUGAAAUGGAGAAGGCGGAUAAAGGAGAGUGAUGCCUCUUUAAUGGAGGAAUCUUUCUGGCAUACGAUGAAGAAUGCGCGGGCUUUUUGCAGUCCAGAAGACCACAAAGGCUACAGCUGUUCCCCCUUUCACUCACACCUUGAUGGAGGCUAGAAGCUACUGGAUAGCAGCUACAGCUGGGCUCCAUUAGGUCCUCUGACCCCCACCUGAAGACAAGGAAUCGAACCAGCAACCUGCCGAUUGCAAACUCCUUAAGAACACCUUGUGAAAAAAUCCACAUCAAAAUGGAAUUUUAAAAUGUCAUUGUUUAAGCUACAGAAACAAAAAAUGGUUUAGGCUUUAAACUUUUUAUUUUAUUUUAAAGAAUGAUAAAAAAAUUAAAAAAAAAAAAAACAACUUAAAAAUGCACCAUAAUGCGUUUGCCUUUAGAUGGCACCAGAGAGUUAAAUCAACAUUUGUCCAAUCUUUCAGACAUGAAACAGAGUUCAGGAUGUUAUUCUUUGGAGUCAGAUGAUUUUAGAGCUUCUUUAGUUGAAGCUCUGACCAAACACUGGGACUCUGAGUGUUUACUCGCAUACCAUACAAAAUACUAGAUAUAAACACUAGUCAAAUGUCUUUAUUUGAAAUUUAGGAGGACAUAAAAAAAAACAAUAAAUUAAAACAAAUGACAAAUAAUCAGAAAAUUAUCACAUCAGAACAUUUCAGGAUGUUCCCUUUGAUUAGUUUGUCAAAUUAACAGUAAAAAAAAAAAGAGCAAUGACACAUUCUUCUUUUCUUUCAACCAAAACAAGACAAAGGCAGAUUGAUAACAAAUAUGUACAAUUACAAACUUUUUUUUUUUAAACAUUUGCUGGUUUAUACAUAUGAUGCUUAAGGUGUUGACUGAUUGAUUUAACACUAAAGCUGAAUGUUCUUAUCAUCAAAUUCAAAGUCAGCAGAUAUUAAACUCUCUCUCUCUGUGCUUCCAGUCUUUAUUUUGUAACAGCAACUCAUGGGUUAAAUCUACAACUAAUCAACAGCGACAUUGCAAAUGUUAAGAUUAUAAAUGUUGCGUUUAAAAUGGACAAAACAUUUUCUGAGAACAAAAAAUAAACAAAAUAAAGCUCA